AAACCAACCGGGAUUGCCUUAGUAACGGCGAGUGAAGCGGCAAAAGCUCAAAUUUGAAAUCUGGUACCUUCGGUGCCCGAGUUGUAAUUUGGAGAGGGCAACUUUGGGGCCGUUCCUUGUCUAUGUUCCUUGGAACAGGACGUCAUAGAGGGUGAGAAUCCCGUGUGGCGAGGA
rnacentral:rRNA from 1 species